GCAAACUAAAAUACAAAAAUAAAAGAUAAAAAAUAUUUUUGGUGUUUUAAUAAAGGAAUGCAAAUAAAAAUGCACAAAUAACUAAAAAUCAUCCAAAUAUUAGUAUUUGUAGGAGAAUUAGAAGCGAGUAAAAAUUAGGUAUUCACAGUUGCCCCUCUUUGCUCGAGAACAUGAAGAGUUUUCGUGCAAAAAAAAUUGAAUGCCAUGGCUAAUUGUUGCUCACAUACCACUCCAAUGAAAGAAAUUUUUGAAAAAAGUGACCGAAUUAGGCCAGUGUAGUUCUGGGAAAAUUUGGUCGCUCUGAUUGCCAGACACUGGUGCUAAGACUGUUGUUGUUGUUGCUACUGUUGUUGUUGCUGUUAUUGUUUCUUGAUGCUUACAUCAAAAGCAAAAGAGAAGAGAACUACAUUUGUUUGCAAACUAAGAGUUACAAAAUACCUAUCUAUGUAUCUUCUGGAUUCAAAUCUUGAUUCUUGACUUGCUCGCUUGUGUUGACUUUAGUUUGGAUCUUGAUGCUCUUUGAAGAAAAGAUUAUGACUUAAUAUCAGUUGCUUGCUUUCUUGAUCCGAAAUUGAGAAGAUAAAUCUUGAGACGCCGAGUUGCUGACAUAUCAUCAAAACUAACUCCAACUAUCUUAUGAUCAACAAACUUCUCUCUUCUGAGGAGAACUGAAAUUACAAGCUUUAAUCUCUACAAUAUGUGCUUUACAGUAGGGUCCUGCAAAGACAUCAAAGACGAACAAAAUAAACAAAUUUUUUGCCCCAGUCUGGUACUAGAAAAAUUUUGUGAGUUAUUAGAAAAAGCAGUAAAUUAUCUAAUUCACUGAAAGAAAGACAAAGACAGUAGUACAAACUAUUAUCUGAAGAUAUGCCACCACGGGGUAGUACCAUAUGUUACCAAAGGGAAUGGAAUUAGAGGAUGGUACCAUGUAUUACUGAAGGUAAACGUAACCAGGGGUUAGCACCUUGUAUUAUUGAAAAGGAGUGUAAUUAUGGGUUGGUAUCCUGUAUUACUAGGAAUGGAUGUAACCAUGGGUUGGUACCUUGUAUUAGUGAAGAGAAAUAUAACCAGGGGUUGGUGCCCUUUAUUAUUACGGAAGAUGUAACCAGGGGUUGGAGCCUUAUACUAUUGCUAAAAUGUUGUAUCUCUCUAGGCGAAAAGGUUCUACCUGAGUUAAGCUAUGAAAACAACAUGAGCGAAGAGUACUUCUACCAUAUAAUAUGAGCUGGAUCCCCCUAGCAAAACGGUUCUACCUGAGUUAAUCUAUGUAAAUCAGCAUGAGCAAAGAGUACUUCUACCCGGCACUAUAAGCUGGAUCCCCUAGGCGAAAUGGUUCUACCUGAGUUAAGCUGCGCAAAACAUCCUGAGCGAAGAAUACUUCUACCCAAAAUUAUAAGCUGGAUCCCCCUAAGUGAAACGGUUCUACCUGAGCUAAGCUACGUAAAACACACUGAGCGAGAGUACUUCUACCUGAAACUUUGAGCUGGAUUCCCCCUAGGAGAAACGGUUCUACCUGAGUUAAGCUAUGUAAAACACCCUAAGCGAAGAGUACUUCUACCCGAAACUAUAAGCUAGAUACCCCUAGGCGAAAAGGUUCUACCUGAGUUAAGCUAUGUAAAACACAUUGCGCGAAAUGAACUUCUACCCGGAACUAUGAGCUAGAUCCCCCUAGGCAAAACGGUUCUACUUGAGUUAAGCUAUGUAAAACAACCUGACUAAAGAGUACUUUUACCCGGAACUAUGAGCUAGAUCCCCUAGGCAAAAUGGUUCUACCUGAGUUAAGCUACGUAAAACAUUAUGAGCGAAGAGUACUUCUUCCGAAACUAUGAGUUGGAUCCCCCUAUGCGAAACGGUUCUACCUGAGUUAAGCUACGUAAAACAGCUUGAGUGAAGAGUACAGAACUAUGAGCUGGAUCUCCCUUAGCGAAACGGUUCUGCCUGAGUUAAGCUAUGUAAAACACCUUGAGCAAUGAGUACUUCUACACGGAACUAUGAGUUGGAUCCCUCUACGCAAAACGGUUCUACCUGAGUUAAGCUACAUAAAACAACCUGACCGAAGAGUACUUCUACUCAGAACUACAAGCUGGAUUCCUCUAGGCGAAAGGAGUCUGCCUAAGUUAAGCUAUGAAAAUGGUAGGUGUGAACAAUAGUGAUGCAUGGUGAAAAUAAAAUAAAAAUGGAGAUUUUAAGGAGUAUACAUUUGGUGAUAUUCAUUCUUUUAGAAUCUCCAUUCUGCACUGCUUUGAUCCUGCUUCGAACAAAAAAUAAUUGAGUUUUCAUAGUGGUGGUUGGUUUGUGGCCGUGAUGCCUUGAGUAGUUUGAUUCACGGCAACUGUUGUCAAAGAACCGAUUCUGUCAGCGUGGUACCGAGAUGCUCGACUGCUCUGUAUCAUUGUUUGGAGACCUUGGAUUUCCAAUAUUUCCCCCAACUGUUUCACACUUAGAUGUCCAUGGUAGCGCUACCUUUGUCUCGAAGGCAAUGCAUUUUUUUUCUUUAAAAUCAACUCUGUUGUCUUGCAUCCAAUGUUAUACCUCCUAUUUUCACUAUACACCCGGAAGGGUAUAAAAGAAGUUUUUUUCAAUUUAAGUGACGAUUGAAACGGGAUUAUUUUAUAAAAAAUUCAGAGUCGCCACUUGGGAUAAUUAGUGGUAUCCCAAGUUACCGGUUCAAAUCCCGAAUCGAGGAAAAAAUUGACUCUUUUAUGUCUAUGAAUAUAGAAAUCCGAAUAAGGAAUUCUGUAAACCAGGAGAAGGUGUUAGGAAUUCCCCAGUUCCGUGGUUCUAGCAUGGUCGCUUAGCAAUUUAUACUUGGAUUAAUUGUUCAACUACUUAUUCAGAAGACCUAUGUGCAUUUACAUUUUUACCGCUUUUAAAUCACUUGAUUGUUCGUAAUUAAAGAAUUGAGUUACACGUACGUAUACUCUUUUCUUUUGGAGCAUCAAAAAUCAUGUCACGCGUACGUGUCCACAAUUAAUCACGCUUUUGUUACUAUUAAGAAAGUUUGGCCGAAGUUGCGCGAAAGCAUACUCCGAUUUAUUUUUUCUAAAAUUAUAAUUAUGUCACGCGAAUGUGUACACCAUCGGAAUGAUAAUUGAGUGCCUAAAAAUAUUCCAAUGGUAUUCAUUAUUCUUCCUAAAUCUUGAGAUUAUUUGGAGGCCAAAGGUAUGAGAGGCAUCAUUAUAAAGAUUUAAUGUGAUUUUAUUAUCAAAAUUAGGAAAAGGCAUGUGGUUGAUUGAAGUUAUUGAAUUAUUCAACUAAUUUAACAUUCUGAUUUUUAAAUAUCCACCCCUAAAACUUUCUAUCAUUUGAUAAUCUAACAUUAUAAAUUUAAGAUAUAAAUAUACGAAACACAAGCAAUAAUACAAACAAAAACAAACUUCAUGAAUCAUGUAAAAUCCAAAGCAUAUCUCGCAACAAAGAUGUAACCACCAGAUUAGCACAAAUUUUUAACAUGGUCACAAUCAAUAGAUCAAGCUAGACAGAAGAAAGAGGAAAUACUACUAAUAAGGAUAACAUGAAAAUAUUCACCGAAUAAUAUAACUGAACAUAUUUUUGCAAACCACAAUUUAAACUGAACAAUAUUUAUUAAAUAUGAUAUGGAUUUAUUCAAGCAAUAUCACACAAAAAUGACAAAGAUUAGAAUGGACCUUUGCUCAAUAUUCUCCGAAUGUGAAACCCAUAUCGAGUCAACCACAGCGAGCUACUGAAACUUUGAACCGACGACCUCGACUUAAUGAACCUCGCUACUCGGCUACAACUCGAACUUGAAGGCAAAGGGGUUCAUGCCAUGGAUUCUCAUGGUUGUUUCAGGGUUGAUUUUCACAGCCACUUGCUGCUGUAUUUUUACUGCUUUUCAGUUAGUUAUUAGACUGCAAAAUUGGUGGUUUUAGGUGAGUUUAACAACAGGUUUGGGGUGAUUCAGCUGGGUUUUGGACUGGCCUUCAAAGGCACUACGUUGCUGGGUUUGGAGGUUUUUUUGAAGCAGAUUUUUAGGAAGUUUAAAUGGUGUUUUUAUGAAACUCAUGGCUGGAUUUUGACGAAGAAUAAGGCCACGUUCUUUUUGGCCCCUUUUUCGUUUCUGUUUUUCCCCUGUAUUUUUCAGGGGGUGGGGUGCUGAAAUUUGCCUUCUAUGGCGGAUGAUCUAUAUUAGAGUCUCUAGGUCUAAUUUUGAUCCCCUCAGAUUUUUUUGGGCAUUACUUUUUGUGUAUUAUUUUUAUCUCUUAGAGUAUAGGGUGUAUUUAUAUAGUAAGAAGGGAUUUUAGGUUAAGGGGUAUAAGUUUAGUGUUAUU
rnacentral:lncRNA from 1 species